rnacentral:lncRNA from 1 species
AGUCGACCCCACCAGCCCUAAGUCGACUCCGGCUUACUUUGAGUCGACCCAACACCAUCUUUUUUAUCUUUCUUCAUCCGGAUGAACAGUAACCCUGGCUGAUCUCUGGUUACUUCAUCCCGGAUUUGAACCUCAUACCAAACUCCAAUUUUCAUGAAAUUUAUACCCAAAGUUCUACACUCAUAGGGGUUUCCAAAAUAGUAAGAUACAUCAUCAUCGAAGGCCGAUUGUCCUCCAAAAUAAUUCACCGAAGUUGGGACUUCGACACAGUUUUUCCGCAGUCUCGAAAAAACUUUGUUGAAGUCCAACUCCCUCUUCUAUAAAUCUUUUCUUUUCUUUUUUCUUCUUUUUCUAUUAAUUAAAUCACCAUUUAUGUGUAUUAGGGACUC